rnacentral:tRNA from 1 species
GUGGGUGUAGCUCAGUUGGUAGAGCCCCUGACUGUGACUCAGGUUGUCGCGAGUUCGAGUCUCGUCAUCCACCCCA